AGUGUAAUAUUCCAUUUUGUAUAUGUACCACAGAUUUCUAAUCCACUCAACUGCUGAUGGGCGCUUAGGCUGUUUCUAAAUCUUAGUUACUGUAAAUUGUGCUGCUAUGAACAUAGGGGUGUAUAUAUC